GACCUGGUAGCACAGUGGUUAGUGCGUCUACCAAAAGUUGCAGGGAGCAAUGGAAAGAUAAGUAGAAGACCUCUGUUCGAGUCGGGGUCAGGUCA